UACAGAGGGUGCGAGCGUUGUCCGGAAUCACUGGGCGUAAAGGGCGCGUAGGUGGUGGCUUAAGCGUGCGGUGAAAGCUCGGAGCUCAACUCCGAGUCGGCCGUGCGAACUGGGCUCACUGGAGCAUAGUAGAGGCAGGUGGAAUUCCGGGUGUAGCGGUGAAAUGCGUAGAUAUCUGGAGGAACACCGGUGGCGAAGGCGGCAUCCUGGACCGGCAUUGACGCUGAGGAGCGAAAGCCAGGGGAGCAAACGGG
rnacentral:rRNA from 1 species